CCGUCCUUUUUUUUCGCCCAAAACUGAGACGUCCCGCGCUCCCGCGCGUGACCGCUAGGGCCGUCCUUCCUCUUCCCAUCCUCCUCUCCGGCACGUAGCCAUCUCCGCCGGCCUGCUCCGCCCGCCUGCAGGGCGCCCGCAGUACGAGACCCGACCUACGCCCCCCCCGGCCAUCUAUCUCCGGCAGCCUGCAGCGACAACCCGAAGGUGGCGGUCAUCCAUCCAAGAGGUCCGCAUCUCGGCGGCCAUCCAUCCGAGACGUCCCCAUCCCGGAGGCGGUGGCAGCCAGCACCAAGCCUAAAUCAACCUCGGGCCGCUCCUCCUGUCCCCUUCCUCUCCACUCCCUUUUUCCACGCUUUCCCUGCCCGUCAGCACCAACGUCGUCCAGGUCGCGCCCGCUGGCCGCCGCAUCCGUCGGCUUCCGGUCGUCAAUCGCUAGAUCUGCCGCCCCCUAUCUCGGAUCCGUCGUCUCCGAGCCCGGGGCGGCCUCCUCCCUAUCACCGCCGCCGCCUUGUGGACUGUGGCCGCCGAUUCGUGCCGUGGUGAGGGCGGCUGGCCUGAUCCGCUUGGUCUCCCGUCGACGAUGGUGCCCGCCGCCGCCGUGCCUCCUGGUGCUCAUUGCUGGCACUGAUGAGGGGUAUGCGGCCUCUCCGUUCUUCAUGGUGGCCGCCGCCGCCGCUACUGGUGGUCUACCCCACCGGUCGUCGUUGUGUGCUGCCCCUCACCUUCAUGUGGACGGAGGUACAAAGCCGUUAGGUUGUGUGCACUGUGCAGAGGCUGCCUUCAUCGCUGCUCCGGGAGAAGUUUUGGAUUGUGCCUGCCUGUGCUCUUCACCUUCACGUUUGGGUGUCCCCAAUUGCUAGGUCUCAGGUUGGAUUUGUGGUGCGAUGCUGGGUGAUAGCGAAAGCUUGCCCAGAUUUGUGGUAUGAGUUGGAGCAAUUAGCAUCACUCAAUUAUCUGUUGCAGCUAUGGAGAUAGCCACCUUUGCAGGAGGUACAUCCUUGACUGCUAUCAGCACUUAUUGACCUUCUGGCUUGCACGCUUUAGGGGCGAAUAAUGCAUCUUCCUGAUUUGCUGCAUUAUUCCAAUCAUCAGGAUGAAUGGUUAAAUUUCUCUAAUAUGUGUACAGCAGGGCUAGCACGCCUCGAUUGGCAUCAUGGAGCUUUCAAUAAUUGCCCCACAAUGGCUUAGAGCAAAAGAACUGAACUAGCAUGUCUUCCUCACUGUCCUUCCUAUAAAGUACAGAGGUGUCAAUGGCUUAGAGCAAAAGAACUGAACUAGCAUGUCUUGGGUGCUUAUUUUGAGAGUUAAGAGAAACUGUGGGCAUGAUGUCAGAUAUAUGUUAUUUAUCGCUAUUUGAAAUUGGGGCUGGUUCAUUUUGUCGAGGAGAUUACUUGUGGCGGUUGCAAAUUCAUUUUUUCAGGAAAUUCAUUAGGCACAGGGAGGUAGAUUGGUUUGUUCACAUGAGGCAGAAGUAUGAUAUAUAUGUAUGGAGCUUUGCUUUGCAGAGGCAGAUGGCCCUCAAUUGAGCUGUAGUGUAGAGUUGGGAACUAUAUUUGUGAAAAUUUUGUUGUGUGAAAAGUGUCCAUAUAUAAGUGUGAUAUGAAUUUCAGAUUACCUGUUAUGGAUGAAACAUUGUUAUGGUUUUGAGUAGUCCAGAGUUA